CUCGACGGUGCGGGCGCGGCGCAAGGACCUGGUAAGACGGUUGAGCUGCUCCAUGGCUCUCUCCAUGCUCGGGGGAACAGAGAAGCCGCCGCCUUCCUUGCCGCCAGCCCACAACUGCGGACUUUCCCAGCUCAGCCCAUCACCCAAGCAGCGGAGACGGCGACCGACUGGUAUAAGGAGAACGAGCUGGGCGAAGAGGACAAGAGGAAGAAUCACGGAGACAUUAUUCAGAAACUUGCCACAAGAUGUCAGUAUAAACGAAGUACAACAAAAUGGUUGUUUGAGUCAGAGCUAAAAGAGCUAUAAAAUGUGUACUUUGUCCUGCUAAAAUAUUAUAUUCUAGAGGAUGAAAACAACAGAAGGGAACCAUGACCACCCCAAGCAAGAAGGAAACACUUAAAAUACA